CCGGAAAGGAGGAACGCUAAAUUUUGGACACAACUGAGAGUCUGUAGGAACUGCUAGUUCUGUAAGAAGCAAGUGCUUCUUGGCUGUUGGACUGGCCCCCACCACCUGUCUGCCUCCGAGCCUGGACCAGCAAGGAGUCCUGGUGGAAGGUGGUACCAGGGACCAGGGAGGCGGAGGGGCCCAUUCCAUACUCGUGGAGACAGGCGUGCUCACAGCAUCACCGGCCUUCUGGCUUGGGUGUUCUGUCGGAGAGAUCCAGUGUGUGUGUGAGGGUCACAGAGGUCUUCUGGGCACUCUGCAAAGCCUUCAGGGCAGUGGCAUGGAACAUGGGUGCAGACAGUGGCCAGGGCAGGCAUUCUGACAGCUUCAUGCCUCGGAGUUCUUCAUGAGCAAGACACACCAGCUGCACACUCCGCAGGCCACAGUACCCUGUGAACAUCACUUUCAUGUGCACUGGGAACCCAAAGUGCUUCUUCGACUCACUUCACUGCAAUAUUCGCUUUAUUGCUGUGAUCUGGAACCAAACCCACAGUAUCUCCAAGGUAUGCCUGUAAUUUUUCCUAAUUUUGUACACACUGAAAAAAAGCUUAGCGUAAUUAUCAGCACUUAUGUGAUCUCCUUGCCGUCAGGAGCCCUGCGCACUGGUUCCUACCGGCGGAUGCUUGCUCGCUGCCCAGCUCCUCACCACGGCCCCGGGAGGAGCGUGAGGCCCGGCUCCAGAGGAACCGUGGCUGCGUGCUCGUCAUUCUGUUGUCACAGCUCUACACACAGACUUGUUUGUGUUUUAUUUUCUUCCUUGGAAAGAUAGUUUGUGAGAAGAGAAUCAGGGUCUUCCUUGAUAAGACCCACAGCAAGGUGACCCAAAGCUAUGCCUAUCCCCAUGGGUCACCACGUUGCGAUUUUUAAAGUGAUCAAGUUACCUAAAGAGACAAACAAAACCUGACCCCAUUUAUACAGCAAGACACUCACAAACAUCAUCCAGGCAAUUCCUUUGCUUCUAUGUUGAGGGGAGGGGUGACCACAGUGCAUUCUCCUCCUGGAGGUUCUCCCCUGGCAUGGUUUUAUACUAACCCUGAGGCAAUGCUAGCCCAGUCUGCCCGCAGUCUCCUUCUGUGUCGCGUUUCUUUGCAUAACGGAGCUUUCUCUAUUUUCCCUUGAGGAAGCGUAAGGAAGAAGGGAGAACAGGAGCAGAGGGGAAGAAAUCACACGAUGUCGCAUCUUUCUCACGCUGGGCAUGAGAGCGGGUCCUUCCCAGGACAGGGCUUGUUUUGAGUUGUGCGUGUGCGAGCCUCCUCCAUGGGCUAGAAUGCGACCAUGGCACUUCUGGAAAAGGGAGUAACCCCCUGAUCGUAUUAUAUAGAAAAUAAUUUUAAGAACUUGCAGGGAAGGUUCUACGUCACCUCCAAUGGCAAGAGUGAGAAAUGCAAGGACAGAAACGGGCAUCGGGCAGAUAGCGAGGAUAAAGGGACCCUGGAAGCCAUCAUUUCUGAAAAGUGAUGGUCAGAGAAAGAAACAGAAGCCAGGCCUGGCUUGGAGAAGUGUCUGCCCUCAGAGCACUCCCCUAAAUAAGGGGAAAGCAGUGGGAACAAAUCCUGAGCGCCCUCUUAAGUGCCGCCCCCAUCAUGUGCUGUGGAGAACGGGGGCGAGUGGGGGAAGAAUGAAAGAUGGGGGGGGAGAAGCCCCUCAUUCUGGCUGCAGGGGGAGGGCAGGAAGGGGAACGUGGCGCCUCCGGGCUCAAUGUGUGUGUUUCUUCAAGCUGGGAAGAAAGUAGAGAAAAGGCAAAAAGCCCGUGAUUUCUCAUGAAUAAAUAGACACUUAAUGGAAAGGAGGAGGAAAAAACCCCCAAAUUCUCCGCUCCCGGAAGAAGGCGAGAGGGGGGAAGAGACGCGCCCUGGGAGGGAUGAGGGUCAGCCCCAGCCCUGGAGGGAGUGAGCCCCAGGAGCCAGGGCAGGUGGAAGUGAGGGCUCCCCAAGCAGGUGGAGGGCGCCAGCCCUCCCAAGCCCGGCAUUCAGUGUAGCCCGAGGGGUUUCAGCCCAGCCAGCUGCCCCAGGUUCCCAGGCCACAGCCCAGGAAGGCAAGACACAGAGGUGGCCAUGCUCCCUGGUGGGAGAACACUGGGCCCCAUUUCAGAGAUUAGGGCUGCCGCAGGAAAGCAAGACUUCAAGAUGGCAAAGUUGGGGCUUCUCAGACCUUUCUUUUUCUCUUAACCUUUAGGAAAAUAGUGGGGAAAUUAGGAACAGAAAGUGCAAAUCCCAUAAGACAUAUAACAUAGAACUCUAACGCCAAACCUCGACAGAGGCAGGGGGAGCUCAGACACCAUGAGAACACCCCCAGGCAGACCCCACACGUAGCUGGGAGAGCAGGAAAACGGGUCAGAACAAGCAGGCGCUCCCCACAGUUAUGUCACCAGCAAGGCUUGUUAAGUUUCAGAGUAUUUGAUGAGAAAACCUUGGAGGAAACAGACUGACGCAAGUUCUUUGAAAAUGCAAGUGCUGUGAUGGCUACUGUGUGUGAGAGCAGACAUGAAGAAAAACGGUUGCCAUGGGAGCACAACCAGCAGAGAACAAGCCGCGGGGCCUGGGCUCACACGCAGAUCAAUGACAGUCUUCUCUUCAGUGUCUGCAGGAAGAUCUCUCAGACAGAGAUCACAAGUAUGAAUAGAGAGAAAGAGGAGGAAGCAGGCUCCCCACCAAGCAGAGAGCCCGAUGUGGGGCUCGAUCCCAGGACCCUGAGAUCAUGACCUGAGCCGAAGGCAGAGGCUUUAACCCACUGAGCCACCCAGGCGCCCCAGGAUCAUACUGUUUAGAUCACUACAGCUUUACAGUCAAUUAUCUUUAACAAAAUAGAAAAGAAUAUGCCAUGGGAAAAAGACAGUCUCUUCAACAAAUGGUGUUGGGAAAACUGGACAGCUAUGUGCAGAAGAAUGAAACCGGACCACUUUCUUACAUCAUAUACCAAAAAAAUUGAAAAUGGAUUAAAGACUUACAUGUGACACAGGAAACCAUCAAAGUCCUAGAGGAGAACACAGGCAAGUAACCUGUUUGUCACUGGCUGUACCAACUUCUUGCUAGACACGGCUCCUGAGGCAAAGGAAACAAAAGCAAAAAUGAACUAGUGGGACUUCAUCAAGAUAAAAAGCUCUGCACUGUGGAGGAAACAAUCAACAAAACUAAAAGGCAACCUACGGAAUGGGAGAAUCUAUUUGUAAAUGACGUAUGUGAUAAAGGGCUAGUAUCCAAAGUCUAUAAACAACUGAUACAACUCAAAACCCCAAAACAAAUAAUCCAGUUAUAGAAUGGGCAGAAAAUAUGAACAGAUAUUUCUCUAAAGAAGACAUCCAGAUGGCCAACAGACACAUGAAAAGAUGCUCAACGUCACUCCUCAUCAGGGAAAUGCAAACCAAAACUACAAUGAGCUACUAUCUCACACCUGUCAGAAUGGCUAAAAUUAGCAACAUAAGAAACAACAGAUAGAUGUUGGUGAGGAUGUGGAGGAAGGGGAACCCUCUUACACUGUUGGUGGGGAUGCAAACUGGUGCAGCCACUGUGGGAAACAGUAUGGCAGUUCCACAAAAAAUUAAAAAUAGAAUUACCAUAUGAUCCAGUAAUUGCACCACUUGGUAUUUAACAGAAGAAUAUAAAAAUACUAAUUCAAAGGGAUAUACGUACCCCAAUGUUUACAGCAUCAUUUUUUAAAAAGAUUUUAUUUAUUUAUUUGACAGACAGAGAUCACAAGUAGGCAGAGAGGCAGGCAGAGAGAGAGAAGGGGAAGCAGGCACCCCGCUGAGCAGAGAGCCUGAUGUGGGUCUUGAUCCCAGGACCUGAGCUAAAGGCAGAGACUUAAUCCUCUGAGCCACCUAGGCACCACUAUUUGUAGCAUCAUUAUCCACAAUAGCCAAAUUAUGGAAAGAGCCCAGCUGUCCAUUGACAGAUGAAUGGAUAAAGAAGUUGUGGUUAUAUAUGUAUG